rnacentral:lncRNA from 12 species
AAAAUUGGGAAGCAGGUAGACAGAGAAUGUCGUGUUGCAAUCCUGAAGAUCCCAAUGCUGUGUUUCAGAUACAACUUUUAAUUUCUGAAGGUUUUAUUUAAAAAAAAAAAAAAAGAAAAAAAAAAAAGAGAGGCAAGAAUCUGAAUGCACACAGCUUUUCUUAAAAAAAGAAAGCAGCUCCUACUGUCAGCAGUUUGUGGAAACUGAAGUAGAGAAAACCAUCUUAAAAUUCCUUUCAUUUGAUCUCUUACAAGAAUACAGCACUAAAUACAGAGAACAAACUAUUUAUGAAGGAGAAAAAUAAAUGGUGAGUCAGAGAAAACAGCAAACAAAAUUUCAGGGCUGUACUCUCUCAUUUGUCCUGAGUGUGUCUUAGGUUUUUGCUUUUAGAAGUUCCACUGGGCAUUUUUUUUUCUUUGUGUGUGCUUAUUUUUGGUUGGUUUUGUUGGGUUUUUUUUUUUAGCUACCUGAUGCCCAAAGGGUAGAGGGAAGCAGCAGUAACAACAGAGCCCAUCAGCAGGACUGAAGGAGGAGCUAAGGUACUUCAUUUUUAGUUUUUAGUUCACUUUAGGAAUAAAUUAAGUUCUUCUUUAUUCUACAUGUGUUAUUUGAAAUCCUAAACUGUAUAAUUGGGAAUAUGUGUUGUAGCCUUCUCAGACUUCCAGAACAUGUGACCUUUUAAGUAAAAUUGUGCUGGUUUGCAUCAUCC